rnacentral:rRNA from 1 species
UCAACGGAGAGUUUGAUCCUGGCUCAGGACGAACGCUGGCGGCGUGCUUAACACAUGCAAGUCGAACGGAAUCCAUGUGGUGGUAACACCGCGGAAGAUUUAGUGGCGAACGGGUGAGGAACACGUGAGGAACCUGCCCCAAACUUUGGGAUAACAGUUGGAAACGACUGCUAAUACCAGAUGCCGUUACUUUGUCGCAUGGCGAGGUAACGAAAGUUUUUCGGUUUGGGAGGGCCUCGCGGCCUAUCAGCUUGUUGGUGAGGUAAUGGCUC